AAAAAAACAAAGGGCAUUUAGGCAGAAGGCACAUCAUAUAGAAGAGCCAGGUGUACCCACACUGAUCUCCCAUGAGAGAAACCCCAGCUUUCUGGAACACUUCAGGGUGACUGCAUCCCCACAGAAGGAGUGCCCUCUUAGUUCAGGUUUGCACAAGAAAUAGAUCCCAACCUCUCUGUACAUGGAACAUCAGCAUUUCUGCAGAUGAAGAGAGGUGCCUGUCUGAUCUGAAUAGCCAGAACACUGGAUUAGGAGUGUGACUGGGAGUCAGACCACUUUCCUACUAGCCUGGAAGGAGAGCUGUGAUGGCUCCCUCACUUCCUCCUGAAAAGACCUCAGUGAAUUUCACUGAGAGCUUCCCCAGCCACCCUUUUGGCGGCUGGGACCUCUGCCCACCACCUCUGCCCACCACUGGGGUAUUGCAUUUACCCAUGGCUUUAGCCACAGCUGAUUUUUACUCAUGGGUACCUCCUACUAGUCUGAAGCUGGAACUGUUCAAUCCAGUGAGUGAAAUACCAGAGAAACAAAGUUUUAAAAGUGCACAUCACUGGGGAAUGAGAUAAGUUCCAUGAGACCUCUGCCAUUCUAGCUCCACAGGAGACAGUGAACCUGCUCACACACCCAGCACAUUGCUACUACCACCAGUAUCUGAGAAACCUAUCCCACAAAGAUUGUCUAUAACCCAGGAACUCAUACAGAGUCUUUGCCACUGAAAUUAUCCAGAGCUGAAGCAAGGUGACAAUAAACUAGAAACACUAAACUCACAUACUCAAAGGAAAAAAAAUUUUAAACCCAGUUGAAUCAAAAUUAACUCAAAAAUAAUUAGAAGAAGUAGUGUACUCAUAUGAAAAGGAACCAGAAAACCAAUUCUGGCAAUAUGGAAAAAACAGGAUUCCAUAAUACCACCAAAUGUCAACUAGCUUUCCAGCAGUG
rnacentral:lncRNA from 1 species